rnacentral:misc_RNA from 1 species
UUAAGUUCAGCGGGUAUCCCUACCUGAUCCGAGGUCAACCUUUUAUUUGUGGAACUCGUGAUUCCGUUUUCGGAAGGCAAGUCCAUCCUGUGUGUGUGAUCCCAGGGUUGUUACAAGCGAACAGUUGCUCAGCGAAUGCGAGCCGUCUAUACAACGCCAUAAACAUUUGUGGGUUCGUUAUUCACUCACAACAGACUGCC